AGCGAACGCUGGCGGCAGGCUUAACACAUGCAAGUCGAGCGGGCGUAGCAAUACGUCAGCGGCAGACGGGUGAGUAACGCGUGGGAACGUACCUUUUGGUUCGGAACAACACAGGGAAACUUGUGCUAAUACCGGAUAAGCCCUUACGGGGAAAGAUUUAUCGCCGAAAGAUCGGCCCGCGUCUGAUUAGCUAGUUGGUAUGGUAAUGGCCUACCCAGGCGACGAUCACUAGCUGGUCUGAGAGGAUGAUCAGCCACAUUGGGACUGAGACACGGCCCAAACUCCGACGGGAGGAAGUAGUGGGGAAUAUUGGACAAUGGGGGCAACCCUGAUCAAGCCAUGCCGCGUGAGUGAUGAAGGCCCUAGGGUUGUAAAGCUCUUUUGUGCGGGAAGAUAAUGACGGUACCGCAAGAAUAAGCCCCGGCUAACUUCGUGCCAGCCGCCGCCGUAA
rnacentral:rRNA from 1 species